GCGGGGGUCGCCUAGUGGCUAUGGCGCCAGCCUGCUAAGCUGGUGGCGCUCUGCGCCUCGAGGGUUCAAAUGAAAUCCCUUUUUCUUUC
rnacentral:tRNA from 1 species